CGAGGGGCGGUCCUCCAGGUCUUCUGGGAGCCUAGAGAAGCCUGUUAACUACAAACCAGAGACCCCCCGGGGCCGUCCUAGAGCCAGCAAGAUCUUUUGUGCUCCUACCAUCUCCCUGGCUGAGAGACCCCUAGAGUGCCAAGAUACUGCCAGUUGUGUCUGAAGCUCUACUGACCUCUGGAAGGUCAGUGGGAUUGCUGACCCUCAUAUAGGGGGACACCCUUGUGCUGGGGGGUCGGUCACUUUUUUUUUUCCUCUCAAGUGUUUUGGGAUACCAAGACAAGUGAGAGGCUGCCAGGAGACUGUCAGGAUGGGAAAUUUGGGGAAGGAGACCUCAAAGAAAAAUGCCUAGUGUUCCACUGUAACACAGCCUGACCUCAACGUAAUCUAGAAAAGUAAUUUGUGAAGGGGAUUUCUAAACCAGACAAUCUCAGUAAGAAAUCUGGUCUCCAAAACUUAAAAGGCACCUUGCUCUGUUUGAUCGGACUUUUGUUUCCCUACCUCCUGGUUCCCCUCCCUUGUGGGAAGUUGGGGGAGGUGGGUAGAUGGGGCCUUUGAGCCUGAUUUUCUUUGGGGGUCCAUGCACCCUGGUUUUGAGGUUUCAUUUUCUAGUACAUGCAGCUCAAAAUUCCCAGGAGGAUGACCAUGGAGAACUGAAAUGCUUAAGGCUUAUCUGAUAAGUCUCAAAAGUAAAAGAGACAAGGAACUACAGCUCCUCUCCAGGCAAGACUGGAAGAUCAUAUUAGGAAAACAGAGUUUCACAAUUACACCCCCACCUGCAAAUUCACCUUCCCCCACCUGUUGGAAAGGAAGGAAGGAGAGGGGCAGCAGCUACAGCCUGAAGAAUCAUCCAGGUUCAGCACAAGCAGCUCUGAGCAGCCUCUACAGUCUUGGGGAGAGAGGGAUAUGGAUCAAGGUAAAGAAGCCAGUCUGCAUCUGCACUUGCUGACUUUGAGCUGACCUUGCCUGAUCCCAGAACUACAAAAUGCUUGAGGGUCAUCAAAACCAGUUAAAAGAAGACCAUGAAAGUCAGUUUAAAAAAGAAAAGGAAAAAAAAGCCUGUUCUGACCAGAAGUACCCCUACAAUGCAUCAUUAAUCUACUCUUUGGACUUUUGGUUGUUAUGCAAAACAACCUUUGUAACAGCUUUGAGAAGCUGUGCCUUCCAAGAGAUUCUCUCCUCAUUGAAAUGUAUUUAAACUCAUUUCCUCCCUGCCUCUCAUGGGCACUUUGGCAACCCAGUACAAGGUAAUCUGGUAACCUCAGAUUGCAAUCCCCCUGCCUGGAUUAAAAGAAACUUUGUUUA